UACGUAGGGGGCAAGCGUUAUCCGGAAUUACUGGGCGUAAAGAGUGCGUAGGUGGCACUGUAAGCGCAGGGUUUAAGGCAACGGCCCAACCGUUGUUUGCCCUGCGAACUGCAGAGCUUGAGUGCAGGAGGGGAAAGUGGAAUUCCUAGUGUAGCGGUGAAAUGCGUAGAUAUUAGGAGGAACACCGGUGGCGAAGGCGACUUUCUGGACUGUAACUGACACUGAGGCACGAAAGCGUGGGGAGCAAACAGGAUUAGAUACCCUGGUAGUCCCUGA
rnacentral:rRNA from 1 species